rnacentral:rRNA from 1 species
AACGAACGCUGGCGGCAGGCUUAACACAUGCAAGUCGAACGCCCCGCAAGGGGAGUGGCAGACGGGUGAGUAACGCGUGGGAAUCUACCGUACCCUACGGAAUAACGCAUGGAAACGUGUGCUAAUACCGUAUACGCCCUACGGGGAAAGAUUUAUCGGGGUAUGAUGAGCCCGCGUUGGAUUAGCUAGUUGGUGGGGUA